UACGUAGGGUGCAAGCGUUGUCCGGAAUUAUUGGGCGUAAAGAGCUCGUAGGCGGUUUGUCGCGUCUGCUGUGAAAACUCGGGGCUUAACCCCGGGCCUGCAGUGGGUACGGGCAGACUAGAGUGCGGUAGGGGAGACUGGAAUUCCUGGUGUAGCGGUGAAAUGCGUAGAUAUCGGGAGGAACACCAGUGGCGAAGGCGAGUCUCUGGGAUGAUGCUGACGCUGAGGCGCGAAAGCCAGGGGAGCAAACGGG
rnacentral:rRNA from 1 species